rnacentral:rRNA from 1 species
AUUGAACGCUGGCGGCAGGCUUAACACAUGCAAGUCGAGCGGGGUGAUGGUGCUUGCACUAUCACUUAGCGGCGGACGGGUGAGUAAUGCUUAGGAAUCUGCCUAUUAGUGGGGGACAACAUCUCGAAAGGGAUGCUAAUACCGCAUACGUCCUACGGGAGAAAGCAGGGGAUCACUUGUGACCUUGUGCUAAUAGAUGAGCCUAAGUCGGAUUAGCUAGUGGGUGGGGUAAAGGCCUACCAAGGCGACGAUCUGUAGCGGGUCUGAGAGGAUGCUCCGCCACACUGGGACUGACACACGGCCCAGACUCCUACGGGAGGCAGCAGUGUGGAAUAUUGGACAAUGGGGGGAACCCUGAUCCAGCCAUGCCGCGUGUGUGAAGAAGGCCUUAUGGUUGUAAAGCACUUUAAGCGAGGAGGAGGCUACUCUAGUUAAUACCUAGGGAUAGUGGACGUUACUCGCAGAAUAAGCACCGGCUAACUCUGUGCCAGCCGCCGCCGUAA